rnacentral:lncRNA from 1 species
AAAAAUCUUUUGUUUUCUUUAUCCUCUUCAUUGUAUUCUUUACAACAAAGAGAAGAGUUUGCUCCUUUGUUAUCGAUUUUCUUUUCUUCCACGGCUAUGCUUUAUGUUUAUGCUUUGUUUCUUCCCAACUUUUGCCUCAUUCUUGUCUCCUCCUUCAUUGUUACUUUAAAUAAUGAUUUCUAAGGUCGCUGAUGAGGACAAGGAAGAAGCUAGGGGUGAGAUCGAGGAUGAGAUAGAUCGAUGGUGCCACCUAACCACC